AUGUUGCAAGGAAUUGGCGACCUACCAAGGUUUAGUAAGGUACUUGAAAAAGCAAAAGCAUUCACUAUCUUUGUCUAUGGGCACACAAGGACCUUGGACUGCAUGAGGCACUUCUCUUCUGGGAAAGAGAUCAUAAGGCCAGGGGUCACUAGGUUUGCUUCUGCUUAUCUAACUUUGGAAAGCCUUCUAGACAAAAAGGAUCAACUGAGGAAGAUGGUGGUUGAUAGUAGAUGGGACAAGCUGAGAGAAGUUAAAUCAAAAAAGGGAAAGGCAGCAACAGCUACGAUGAUGAGCAUGGCUUUUUGGAAAGAUUUGAAGCUUUGCCUCAAGAAACAAAUGAUCAAGGAGAAGAAGAUCACUGAUGUCCUCUUAUCUGCUGAAACUACCGAAGCUCAAGGUUUUCUUUUUGAGGGCGGAGACGAUUAUGCAGAAGUCGUCUAUAGGGAUGAUGAGGAGGAGAUGGAUAGUACAGGGAUGCCAGGGAGUGCCAUUGGAGAAACAAUGGGAGGUGAUGAACUGCUCGAGCCACGUAGAAGUGCGAGACUAAGACAACUUUAUGAAGAAGAAGAAUUCGAUUCCGAAGAAGAGGAGUUUGAUGAGGAGGAGGAGAUGCAUUCAGAGGAUGAGAAUGAAUAUUGA
rnacentral:rRNA from 1 species